AAGUAAAAAGUCGUAACAAGGUCUCCGUUGGUGAACCAGCGGAGGGAUCAUUGCUGGAACGCGCCCCAGGCGCACCCAGAAACCCUUUGUGAACUUAUACCUUACUGUUGCCUCGGCGCUAGCUGGUCCUUCGGGGCCCCUCACCCUCGGGUGUUGAGACAGCCCGCCGGCGGCCAACCCAACUCUUGUUUUUACACUGAAACUCUGAGAAUAAAACAUAAAUGAAUCAAAACUUUCAACAACGGAUCUCUUGGUUCUGGCAUCGAUGAAGAACGCAGCGAAAUGCGAUAAGUAAUGUGAAUUGCAGAAUUCAGUGAAUCAUCGAAUCUUUGAACGCACAUUGCGCCCUCUGGUAUUCCGGAGGGCAUGCCUGUUCGAGCGUCAUUUCAACCCUCAAGCCUGGCUUGGUGAUGGGGCACUGCUUUUACCCAAGAGCAGGCCCUGAAAUUCAGUGGCGAGCUCGCCAGGACCCCGAGCGCAGUAGUUAAACCCUCGCUCUGGAAGGCCCUGGCGGUGCCCUGCCGUUAAACCCCCAACUUCUGAAAAUUUGACCUCGGAUCAGGUAGGAAUACCCGCUGAACUUAAGCAUAUCAAUAG
rnacentral:rRNA from 1 species